rnacentral:rRNA from 1 species
GUCUUUUAAAAGAUGUAGCCGAAGCGAAAGCGAGUCUUAACAGGGCGCUUAGUCAGAGGGGUUAGACGCGAAACCUGAUGAUCUACCCAUGGCAGGUUGAAGUAACGGUAAAAUCGUUAUGGAGGACCGAACCAGUGCACGUUGCAACAUGCUUGGAUGAGCUGUGGGUAGGGGUGAAAGGCUAAUCAAAUUGGGAGAUAGCUCGUACUCCCCGAAAUGUUUUUAGGAACAGCCUCAAGUUUAUAUUUACGUAGGUAGAGCUACCGAUGGAAUGUUGGGGGCUCUCAAGGCCUACCACAUUCAGACGAACUCCGAAUGACGUAAAUUUUGCUUGGGAGUGAGGGCUGGGGUGCUAAGGUCACAGUCCGAGAGGGAAACAACCCAGAUCACCAGCUAAGGCCCCAAAAAUGCACGCUAAGUUGAACUAAGAAGAUUUAAUUGCUUAAACAGCCAGGAUGUAGGCUUAGAAGCAGCCAUU